rnacentral:rRNA from 1 species
CAGCGCCACAAGUGGGGACCACAAUUAUUGGGCCUAAAGCGUUCGUAGCCGGCUAAAUAAAUCUUUUGUGAAAUUGUUGGGCUUAACCUAACAGCUUGCAGAAGACACUAUUUAGCUAGAGAUCGGGAGGAGUCAGAGGAAUUCUAGGGGUAGCGGUAAAAUGCAAUAAUCCCUGGAGGACCACCAGUGGCGAAGGCGUCUGACCAGAACGAUUCUGACGGUGAGGAACGAAAGCCAGGGGAGCGAACCGGAUUAGAUACCCGAGUAGUCC